rnacentral:rRNA from 1 species
CCUACGGUGGCAGCAGUAGGGAAUCUUCCGCAAUGGGCGAAAGCCUGACGGAGCAACGCCGCGUGAGUGAUGAAGGUCUUCGGAUCGUAAAACUCUGUUAUUAGGGAAGAACAAACGUGUAAGUAACUGUGCACGUCUUGACGGUACCUAAUCAGAAAGCCACGGCUAACUACGUGCCAGCAGCCGCGGUAAUACGUAGGUGGCAAGCGUUAUCCGGAAUUAUUGGGCGUAAAGCGCGCGUAGGCGGUUUUUUAAGUCUGAUGUGAAAGCCCACGGCUCAACCGUGGAGGGUCAUUGGAAACUGGAAAACUUGAGUGCAGAAGAGGAAAGUGGAAUUCCAUGUGUAGCGGUGAAAUGCGCAGAGAUAUGGAGGAACACCAGUGGCGAAGGCGACUUUCUGGUCUGUAACUGACGCUGAUGUGCGAAAGCGUGGGGAUCAAACAGGAUUAGAUACCCGAGUAGUC